GACGAACGCUGGCGGCGUGCUUAACACAUGCAAGUCGAACGGUGAAGCUCCAGCUUGCUGGAGUGGAUCAGUGGCGAACGGGUGAGUAACACGUGAGCAACCUGCCCCUGACUCUGGAAUAAGCGCUGGAAACGGCGUCUAAUACUGGAUACGAGAAGGGUCCGCAUGGGCACUUUCUGGAAAGUUUUUCGGUUGGGGAUGGGCUCGCGGCCUAUCAGCUUGUUGGUGAGGUAAUGGCUCACCAAGGCGACGACGGGUAGCCGGCCUGAGGGGGCGACCGGCCACACUGGGACUGAGACACGGCCCAGACUCCUACGGGAGGCAGCAGUGGGGAAUAUUGCACCAUGGGCCAAAGCCUGAUGCAGCGACGCCGCGUGAGGGAUGACGGCCUUCGGGUUGUAAACCUCUUUCAGCAGGGAAGAAGCGAAAGUGACGGUACCUGCAGAAGAAGCCCCGGCUAACUACGUG
rnacentral:rRNA from 1 species